rnacentral:rRNA from 1 species
AGAGUUUGAUCCUGGCUCAGGACGAACGCUGGCGGCGUGCUUAACACAUGCAAGUCGAACGAUGAUGCCCAGCUUGCUGGGCGGAUUAGUGGCGAACGGGUGAGUAACACGUGAGUAACCUGCCCUUGACUUCGGGAUAACUCCGGGAAACCGGGGCUAAUACCGGAUAUGAGCUACCUUCGCAUGGGGGUGGUUGGAAAGUUUUUCGGUCAGGGAUGGGCUCGCGGCCUAUCAGCUUGUUGGUGGGGUGAUGGCCUACCAAGGCGACGACGGGUAGCCGGCCUGAGAGGGCGACCGGCCACACUGGGACUGAGACACGGCCCAGACUCCUACGGGAGGCAGCAGUGGGGAAUAUUGCACAAUGGGCGCAAGCCUGAUGCAGCGACGCCGCGUGAGGGAUGAAGGCCUUCGGGUUGUAAACCUCUUUCAGCAGGGAAGAAGCGCAAGUGACGGUACCUGCAGAAGAAGCGCCGGCUAACUACGUGCCAGCAGCCGCGGUAAUACGUAGGGCGCAAGCGUUGUCCGGAAUUAUUGGGCGUAAAGAGCUCGUAGGCGGUCUGUCGCGUCUGGUGUGAAAACUCGAGGCUCAACCUCGAGCUUGCAUCGGGUACGGGCAGACUAGAGUGCGGUAGGGGAGACUGGAAUUCCUGGUGUAGCGGUGGAAUGCGCAGAUAUCAGGAGGAACACCGAUGGCGAAGGCAGGUCUCUGGGCCGCAACUGACGCUGAGGAGCGAAAGCAUGGGGAGCGAACAGGAUUAGAUACCCUGGUAGUCCAUGCCGUAAACGUUGGGCACUAGGUGUGGGGCUCAUUCCACGAGUUCCGUGCCGCAGCAAACGCAUAAGUGCCC